UCCUGAUUCAGGCAUCAAAGAAAAUUGGAACCAUUACAAUGAAUGUGCCUUAGGAGCAAUGGUCCUGAAUAUUUUUCCCAGAUCUAGAUAUUUCUUUCAUUUUCUUUUUCAUAGGGGGACACCGAGUGCAACUUUUGAAUCAAUGCAGAUCAUCCGAUGAUUGUUUCCCAGGCAGUUACAGCUUCACUGCAGGGGAUGGUAAAUUCUUUGAGAUGAAGCAGUUCUGCUGCAAGACUGAACUGUGUAACAAUGCAACUCUCAGCCGUAAGUUUCUGUAUAAUUUUAAAAUCCUCAACAUGUUAGGGCUUUGCAUUGGAUUUGGCCAAGGACUGGAUCCUUAGUCAACCAGCAGUACUCAGAGGACCUGGGCCUCAUUCAAAAGGGGUGAGACAGCCCCAGAUGGCUAUAUGGGUUGAGCAGGUCAGCACUAUUAGGGCCCCUCAAGGCGUGGAGAGGCAGGCAGGACGAAGAAGCAGGCAUGAAGAGAAACUGUGAAGAAGAGGGACCUACUGGGCAGCUACAUCUCUGCCUGAGAAGGGAUGGGUUCCCUUUCCAACCAGGCCUUGCCUGAAUCUGUCCCAUUGUCAAUCCUAAACCCAGACUGGGUCUAGAUAAUCUUUUCAUCCAAUAAUACUUGCAGGUGCCCCACCAAAACUGUAAAGCCCUAGGGUGAAUUACAAUAAUAUAACAUACAGGUACAAAAACAGAUACAGUGGUACCUUGGGUUAAGUACUUAAUUCAUUCCGGAGUUCUGUUCUUAACCUGAAACUGUUCUUAACCUGAAGCACUACUUUAGCUAAUGGGGCCUCCAGCUGCCGCCGUGCCGCCGGAGCACGAUUUCUGUUCUCAUCCUGAAGCAAAGUUCUUAACCCGAGGUAAUAUUUCUGGGUUAGCGGAGUCUGUAACCUGAAGCGUAUGUAACCCGAGGUACCACUGUAAAACCAUUAACAUGCUCACUAUACUUUUGAUCGGCUGGGUGAGGACUGCAGGGCCUGCUCCCUUCCAGGGCCUUUUCCAACUGGCCCAGGGGGCGUGGCCCGGGCCCUCUCUCCCAGCUACAAAGGGACUCCUGCUGCGGUGAGGCCUCGGACCAUCGGCUGGGUGAGGACUGCAGGGCCUGCUCCCUUCCAGGGCCUUUUCCAACUGGCCCAGGGGGCGUGGCCAGGCCCUUUCUCCCAGCUAUAAAGGGACUCCUGCUGCAGGGAAGCCUCGGACCAUCGGCUGGGUGAGGACUGCAGGGCCUGCUCCCUUCCAGGGCCUUUUCCAACUGGCCCAGGGGGCGUGGCCAGGCCCUUUCUCCCAGCUAUAAAGGGACUCCUGCUGCAGGGAAGCCUUGGACCAUCGGCUGGGUGAGGACUGCAGGGCCUUUCCAACUGGCCCAGGGGGCGUGGCCAGGCCCUUUCUCCCAGCUAUAAAGGGACUCCUGCUGCAGGGAAGCCUUGGACCAUCGGCUGGGUGAGGACUGCAGGGCCUGCUCCCUUCCAGGGCCUUUUCCAACUGGCCCAGGGGGCGUGGCCCAGGCCCUCUCUCCCAGCUACAAAGGGACUCCUGCUGCGGUGAGGUCUCGGACCAUCGGCUGGGUGAGGACUGCAGGGCCUGCUCCCUUCCAGGGCCUUUUCCAACUGGCCCAGGGGGCGUGGCCAGGCCCUUUCUCCCAGCUAUAAAGGGACUCCUGCUGCGGGGAAGCCUCGGACCAUCGGCUGGGUGAGGACUGCAGGGCCUGCUCCCUUCCAGGGCCUUUUCCAACUGGCCCAGGGGGCGUGGCCCAGGCCCUUAUUUGGAACAAACUUUUGGGGAAGUGUGGGAAGUGUUCUGCCAUUGCUUCCCUGUUCCAGGUGGUUAAUGUGCUUUAAAAUGUCCUCAAGCAGUCGGUGGCAAUUUCAAUUUUUAUUCCUUUUUUCCCUUUUUUCCUUUGUUGGGGGUGGGUGGGUGGGAUGGAUAGUUGGUUGGGGAUUAAUUUUAGCAUAAUUGUUCUGUUCCUUUUUGUUGUUGUUUUAUUGGUUCUGUAUAGUUUGUGUUUUGUUUUUAAGGGGUGGGAUCAGGGCUGCCUGGGAGUGGCUACCCAGCCAACACGAUGGCUGGGACAAGUUCCACAGGGGGGGAAGCACUGGGACAUCCGAUCUCGGUGAUUAUGGGCAGGAGGCGGAGUUACGCUAAGACCAGACCAUGUCAUUACCGAGGAGGCAGGUUUAGUCGUUGUUUGAAGACUAUCCCUGCCUCCGGGUCUGGCCUUGACCGGAUGGAUACUGGAAUCAACAGGGGAAACCCACAUGACCUGAAAGUGUUGCUGUGCAAUGCCAGGUCGAUGAUGAAUAAAACCACUGCCAUCCACGACUUGAUUGUGGAUGGAGGAUUUGACCUGGCAUGUGUGACGGAGACCUGGUUGGAGGAAGAGGAUGGGCCUGUCCUUGCCGCUGCUUGCCCACCAGGUUUCUCUUACGCACAGCAACCCAGGUCAUGUGGGCGGGGAGGGGGGGUUGCAGUGAUUUUUAGAAAGUCACUAGCUUGCACCAGGUGUCCUACUGGGAAGAUCCAGUUCUCUGAGUGCAUGUUCUGGAAGUUGGGCAAUAGGGGCAGUACAGGAUUCCUUUUGGUGUACCGACCUCCCCGCUGCACCAAGGAUUCCCUGUCCGAGCUGCUUCAGGUCGUGGCUGAUUUUCUCCUGGAGACACCUAGUUUGGUUGUCCUAGGGGGAUUUUAACAUCCAUGCCGACACGACCUUACAAGGGGCCGCUCGGGACUUCGUGGAAAGCAUGGCCUCCAUGGGGCUGUCCCUGAAUAAGUUUGGCCCAACUCAUAGUCAUGGACAUGCCUUAGACCUGGUGUUCACCUCUAGUGACGUGGGUGAUCUGACACUAAGUAAAAGUGAAACAAAAGAAGUGCCAUGGUCAGAUCACUUCCUGGUGCAACUGGACUUCUCCGCAACCCUUCCCCUCUGCAGGGAGGUGGGACCAAUUCGGAUGGUCCGCCCCCGCCACUUAAUGGAUCCAAAUGGUUUCCAGAGAGUGGUAGGGGAUGCUUUAGCCCAUGUUGAUGGCCUUUCAGCUGAUUCCCUGGUGGCCCGCUGGAAUGCGGAGUUAACCAGGGCUAUCGACUGUCUGGCUCCCAAAGCGGCCUCUCCGAUUGCAUGGAGCCCGGACAGCCCCGUGGUUUUCUUCGGAGCUGAGGGCGAUGAAACAAUCGCUGAGACGGCUAGAGCGUUGGUGGCAGAAAACUCACUCCGAAUCUGACCGGACACAGGUUAGAGCUCAACGUCAAGCCUACCAAGUGGCGAUAGCGACGGCGAAGAAGACUUUCUUCACCGCCUCUAUUGCAUCUGCAGAAAAUAGUAGCAGGAGACUCUUUCAGGUGGUUCGCAAUUUAACGGAACCACCUUUACCACCGGGGCAUUGUAAAGACCCCAAGAUCUCCUGCAACGAUUUUGCAAAGUUUUUGCAGAUAAAAUCACUCAUAUUCGGAAGGAGCUAGACACCACCGUGGGAGCAGGGCCAGGGCGGGAGAGUGCUAGAGCUCUGUCUGGUCAAGUUGCAUGGAAUCAAUUUCAAUCCAUUACCCCGAGGAUGUGGACAGGCUGCUUGGACGCGUGAAAGCAACCACCUGUCUCCUUGAUCCUUGCCCAUCCUGGCUAAUAAAAGCAAGCCGGGAAGGGCUGGGCGAUGGGCUCUGCGGGGUGGUGAAUGCUUCCCUCUGUGAGGGAACAUUCCCAGAUCCGCUGAAAGAGGCGGUCAUUAAACCGCUUCUUAAAAAACCAUCUUUAGACCCGGCCAGUAUGGCCAACUAUCGCCCAGUCUCAAAUCUUCCAUUCUUGGGCAAGGUGAUUGAGCGCGUGGUUGCUGAACAACUCCAGGCACGCCUGGAGGAUGCGGACCAUUUGGAUCCCUUCCAAUCGGGAUUCAGGCCUCACCAUGGGACUGAAACUGCCUUGGUCGCACUGGUUGAUGAUCUCCGGCGAGCUAGGGACAAAGGUGAGAGUUGUUUCCUGGUUCUGCUGGAUCUCUCAGCGGCCUUUGAUACAAUCGACCAUAACAUCCUUCUGGACCGUCUAGAGGGGCUGGGAGCUGGGGGCACUGUUAUACAGUGGUUUCGCUCCUUCCUCCUGGGCCGUGUUCAGAAAGUGGUGGUGGGGGAUGAGUGUUCAGACCCCUGGGCCCUCACUUGUGGGGUGCCUCAGGGUUCCGUCCUCUCCCCCAUGCUUUAACAUCUAUAUGAAGCCGCUGGGAGAGAUCAUCAGGGGAUUUGGACUGGGUGUCCAUCAAUAUGCAGAUGAUACCCAGCUCUACCUCUCUUUCAAAUCAGAACCAGUGAAGGCGGUGAAGGUCCUGUGUGAGUGCCUGGAGGCGGUUGGAGGAUGGAUGGCGGCUAAUGGAUUGAAGUUGAAUCCUGACAAGACAGAAGUAUUGUUUUUGGGAGACAGGGGCGGGCUGGUGUGGAGGACUCCCUGGUCCUGAAUAGGGUAACUGUGCCCCUGAAGGACCAGGUGCGCAGCCUGGGAGUCAUUUUGGACUCACAGCUGUCCAUGGAGGCACAGGUCAAUUCUGUAUCCAGGGCAGCUGUCUACCAACUCCACCUGGUACGCAGGCUGAGACCCUACCUGCCCGCGGACUGUCUCGCCAGAGUGGUGCAUGCUCUGGUUAUCUCCCGCUUGGACUACUGCAAUGCGCUCUACGUGGGGCUACCUUUGAAGGUGACCCGGAAACUACAAUUAAUACAGAAUGCGGCAGCUAGACUGGUGACUGGGGGCGGCCGCCGAGACCACAUAACACCGGUCUUGAAAGACCUACAUUGGCUCCCAGUACGUUUCCGAGCACAAUUCAAAGUGUUGGUGUUGACCUUUAAAGCCCUAAACGGCCUCGGCCCAGUAUACCUGAAGGAGCCGUCUCCACCCCCAUCGUUCUGCCCGGACGCUGAGGUCCAGCGCCGAGGGCCUUCUGGCGGUUCCCUCAUUGCGAGAAGCAAAGCUACAGGGAACCAGGCAGAGGGCCUUCUCGGUAGUGGCGCCCGCCCUGUGGAACGCCCUCCCAUCAGAUGUCAAAGCAAUAAAUAACUACCUGACAUUUAGAGGGCAUCUUAAGGCAGCCCUGUUCAGGGAAGCUUUUAAUCUGUGAUAUUUUACUGUAUUUUUUGUUUCUAUGGAAGCCGCCCAGAGUGGCUGGAGAAACCCAGCCAGAUGGGCGGGGUACAAAUAAUAAAUUAUUAUUAUUAUUAUUAUUAUUAUUAUUAUUAUUAUUAUUUUGGCAGUUUCUGAUCGCAACGUGCUGGCUGAAAAUGGCCUGAAAUGCCCAGCCUGCUUCUCCAAAGGAACCACACAGUGUAAAAGUGAGAAGACCAUCAACUGCCUUGAGAAUGAGACCCAGUGUGUUGUUUUUAAAGGAUCUCUUCUUAGAGGUAACAUUGCUACUUAGACAGGGGGAAAGGGCCUAGUCAUCGGAUGGGUCACACAGACUCACCCCUGUUCUCCUAUGCUCCCCCUCCCUUCCCUUUCCCUUGCAUAUUACUAGAAAUGUGAGAGGGUCCACAUCUCUAACUGGGCCCAUUCCUGCACCCUUCCUUAGUGUUUUGCCUGCCUGGACUGUGUCCUUUAACUCUCAUAAUGCCACUUGCUUGUCCAGAAGGAGUAUUCCCCUUGGCUGGGGAGGGCGGGGUAUAAAUAAAUAAAAAUUAUUAUUAUUAUUAUUAUUAUUAUUAAAAACACCCUUCUGAACAAAAGUAAAAAGUGCAUUCAUUGCUUCACCCCAGUUGCAUCUGGAUCUGUCCACCAUUGGGUUGCAGUCGAGGACAAAAUGUGUCCCCCUUGCUCAAAAAGCACAUUUAUUAUGUAAAAGGCAUGUAACAAGUUUUCUUAAAUUCUGUGACAAUGAGCAGUAUCUGGCUAACUAAUUCUGUGCACCAGAAUUUCUGCUCUUGGAAACUUGUAAAAUAAAAGGAGGAUUCUAUGGAUGCUUAGAUCACAGUGGGGCAAUGAGGAAGCCUCAGUGGGCAUCCAACCAUCCUGAGAGACAAUGAAGUGCAUCUCCAGCUUUUUGUUAGUGUGUCACUGCAUCACACUGUUGUCUCAUGCCAGGUUAAAACACUCAAGGUUCCCACACCAGGGAGGGAGUGUUGUUUUCAAAUCUUGCUGUGUGGCCACAGCAUGUGAUUUUAACUUGCCCAGGAGAUAGCAGGGAUAGAGUUCCUCCCAUUUUAUUGCAACUCAGCUGCACACAAGAAUUUGAUCUGCUUAAUCUAGUUAAUUAGGCCUGUUUUCAGAUUCUCUACUUUCAUUAUAGUUUAUAAAUAUAAUGUCAGAGGCUGGACUGAGGAGGAAUGGUGGGAGCUGCCCCUUCUUUUCUGAUUUCCUGAAGCCUGACAGAUAAACUGUUUAUUAAUAAUCUUGAGACUCCUUUGGGUAUGAUGGCCAUUCUGAAUUACAUAUGAGUUUAUUUUUAUCCAAACUUCAUGUUGAAAAUUUUAUUUAUUCAUGUUCUAAUGAAAUUAUAUUUUUCAGAUUUCUUAAAUAUACACAUUUUAAAACUAACUAAAAUUGUCAUUUAGCCUCACAAGCACAAUCUCCUAGUACCUGGGUAAAGGACUAAUGUCAACAUUUCUUUCCUUUUCUUCUAGCCCUCAAAGAUCUCCCCGAUUUCACGUUCCAAGGCUGUGGAACAACAGAUUUUUGUGCCUUCCACAGAAGAACACUUGGAUCUGGGGGAUAUGUCCUUUUUAUUACCCAAAAAAGAUGCUAUAAUGCUUCAGGAAUCUCACACCAGCCUGAACAUGAAGGGUAAAUAGGACAGUGUAGACCUCCUCCUUGUGCAUUGCAAAAUCCAUGGCAGUGAGGGGGAACUGGAGGCCUAGUGGUGAAAUCCUGGACUCAGGAUCUGUGGAUCUUUCUAUUUUGCUUUUGGUGGGGAUAAGGGAAGCAAGGGGCAGAGAAAAAUGGGUCAAAAAUGUGUGGGUUGUAGAUUCUAACUACAAAGAACCCUUUAGUGUAUCACUAACAAAUAAUUUUUAUUAUGAUCAUUACAAAACAAAAUAAAUGGUUAUGGGA